rnacentral:lncRNA from 1 species
GUUCAGAAGAAAGCAUUGAUUAAAACACCCUCAUGGAAUUUUAUACAUGGAUCAUUAGGAUAAGUAUAUGGCUUUUAUUCUCCUUUUUUAAACCAACUUAUAGAUACAGCAAGGAAAGAGUUAUUUAUUGGACUAAGUAUUAACAGUGUGAUAACAGAUAAGCUUGUCUUUGGAAGUGGAACCACUCUCACAGUCGAACCAAGCAAUCAGAAAGAAUCUGACCCAGAAGUUGUUCUGAUAAAAUCCAAGGCACUUGAAGAAGGUGGCAGUACUGGGAAAGCAGCUUGUUUGGCAAGGAACUUCUAUCCAAAAAAUAUCAGUUUGGACAUGUUAACAGCUGAAGUCAUAUAUGAACAGUCUCCACCCGUUAUGACAUCAGAGGGGACAUACAAUACUAUUAAAGUGGUGAAUGUGGCAAAAAAAUCAGAGGUAUCCUGCACGGCCAAGUUCAAGAACAAAAAUUUUCCAGCCAAUGCAACGUCAUCAGAAAAGGUGGUGGAAGAACCAAUAACAGCAAAUGUUUGCAACACCACAGACAUCUCUUCAAAAGGCAAAGAGGUAUCAAGGCAGAAGAAAGCUGAGAAACAGCAGGAGAGAGCAGCUACCAGCAGUACAAUUUGAAGAGAUGAUGUUAAAUCUGUUGACAACAACCAUCUAGAACACAGCACAGCACCAUCUCCUUAAGACAUUUCAGAGUGUGGACUCCUGCCUGGAUAGUUUAUGUAAUUUUUAGAGUUGUAAUUGCUUUUGCUAUUUCUUGUUUUCUGUGAGCAGAGGAAAGUAUUUUUCCUCAUCUGUCAGCUAAGUAGAAAUUGAUCCUUCCACUUUUCUAUCCUUUGCAUGGAAGCAUCCAACAUACUUUGAUAGUUCUGAAAAAAAAAAUUGAAACCUCACUAUCGAUAUAUGAACUUUUAAAAAUACCUUUUUACAGCAAUGUUGCAUUAUUCUGUAGAACUGAUAUUUUACUUCUGAGAGGCACAGUGGAUGUCAUUUAUAUAUAUAUAUAUUUUAAGAUAUCUUUAAUAACCAUAAUUUUCUAGUAUAGAUGAGAAGAGCUGCAUUGGAUCCGAAGGGGUGCACUUCAACCAGAUGAUGUUCAACUGUAGUAACAUUUUUAUUUACAUUUCUGUAUUUAAUUUUUAUCUUUUCUGCAAAGGGUAUGACAUCUGCAUUUUAUAUCACUGUAGCGAUUAUCAAAAUAAAAUUUUAUUACACCAAAA